CAUAGAAAUAUACCCUUAUUUCAAUAUUUUCAUUGCAUUCAAUACAUAUUAAAGUUUGACGCUGUGCCUAGAAUAAAAGAAAAAAAACAUUAUUUAAUAGUUGUAAAAACUAGGCUUUUUAAAAUCGUCUAGUUUAGUUAAAAGAAGUAUGUACCCUACUAAUUUAAAAUAUAAAAAUGCACACUUGUUCAUGAUGACGUUUAGUUGCUGUGUACUUUUUGUGAUUUUGGUGACCUGAGUGUAGACGAAUAAACUUGUAAACUGUUAAGUGUUACAAAUUCCGACGCCUGACACCUGUGUGGAAUGUGACAAAUCGCCUGUCUCGAAAAUCGAAAAAAUAACAUCUUAAAACUAUCAACUUUCUUUUUUCAAUAAUUAUUAUCCAUCUAAAAUGUAUAAACUGUGGUGAAUCUUGGAUUUUGAUGCAGGAAAACAUAUAUCAAAAUGACAAAAUAGACAUAGUCACAAUAUACAUGCAUCAUGGUAAAAUUAAAAAUGAUCAUAUAAAAUAUGUAAAGAGAUGGAUUUUUGUUAUUUAAUCUUUAUUUCCUCUAAUAUAUGAAGAGUCAAACAUAAAUUUACAUAGUUAUGAUAUAUAUCUCUCAAACGUUUAUGGUAUAAUUAUGCAACUCCGCCUUUUCCUCGUCUGGGCUAUUAUAUAUAUAUCAAAUAAACUAUCGUCACAAACGGAAUAAGCAAUGUAGUCAGAAGACAAACUGUUAAAAAAAUGCACAUUAUCAGGGUACAACCAAUGUUCAGAAAUGCCACAUACAUCUAUGAUAAUCAGCGUAUCAGUAAGAUAUGACACACUAGAGAAAACUUCAGUGACAUUCCACGUCAAAAUGGUAAAAGUCAUAAACAGAAAAUAUGUAUAUAUGAGUAUCAUUGCAAUCAUGUAUUUUUCAAUAGUUAUAUUCAAAGUCAUUUAAGUAUCGCAGAUGCUUGAAUCUAUUUCCAUUCCGAUCAUAUUGGCCAUCCUCUGGUUGCAGGUUGACGCCACUUCCGCGAUUGCCACUGGUGUGUUGUACAUCAAAUCGCCCGCCGUGUCAGCCACGUCAGCUCGGGUUUUGUAGAUUGCGCCUUCCGGCUCCGUUCUGGAAACGAGGCUGGAGAUAUUUUGCCCGACAUUGGCGCUGGUUUCUCGUAUAGGUCCGGGACUGCCAAAGUUUACAGUUCACAAAGUCAGGCCAUAAAUCGUCACGUAGAACAUGAUUGGGCAUGUUGUCUCAAUGAACGUUUAAGCGAACUAUGAUUUUAUCCGGAUAUCUCCGCAUGAGGAAUAUACGGAUGUUCGAAACAGUCGGCCCAUGUUCAUUCACAUAGGCCGCCAACUCAGCGGCUGUCAUGGUCUUGCUGUAACCACCAGCAAUAAAGUGUUUUGUCGAGCGUUUAAAAGGAGGCUCGAACCCCAUGUCAUCGGCAUGUGCUUCGUUUUCAUUCCUAACGUCGUGCAGCUGUGUAACCCGUACAGGAAUCGUAUGUGAAUCAGGCGUACGCGCCUGAUGUUCACGAUCAUGACGCUCAAGAUGCAACGGCCAGUGCAGUUCCGUGUAGGUACCUCGCAUAUAUCAUCAGGAGAUGAGCUUCCGCUCACGGGGGCGGAAAGUGGCCACAGAAUGUGAAAGCAGGACAUAUACAAGAAAGGCUAUACAUCAAGAAUCACCUCAGAGACGAAAAGAAAAAUGUGGAAGGCUGUUGAAAGAAUCUUUAAUGCCCAGUCUACAGGAAUUCAUAGAACUGUAGACCUGCUAACCAAGAAGGAGGACAAACUAACUCAAGUCCACCGCCCUAAGUUCAUGGAUUAUAAAAGACAGCUUCAGCUGACAGACGAUAGCGCUUGUUGUCGGUGCGAACGACAUUGGCCGAAGAUCAGCAGCUGCAAUUGAAGAGGGGGAAAAUGGAGAGCCAGGAGAAAACCCACUUGUCAGACCUGGUGAUCGUUCAGUACUCACAUGCCGUCAUUUUACAACAAAUAGACGAAACAAGUACAAACGUUGCUGCAAGAUGCAGCAAUUGGAUGUUAGCGCGGGCCAACUAUUGGUUAUGCAAGUCUAUAUGUAGGGUCAGAACGAAGUAAAUAAAGUAAGGGCUAACAUUGAUUGUAGAUGUCAGCGAAAUGAAGUUACUUAAAAGAUGACAGAAUUGGGCUGUUGUUUUGAAAAUAAAAUAAAACGUAACACAAUAACAUUUGUACAAGUGAUGGUAUAUCUAUGACAGAAACCAUAAUUGUAUCAAAUAACUUUAUUCAUGA